rnacentral:ncRNA from 2 species
CGCUCCAAGGAGCGUUGCAGCGCCCCGACACGCGGGCGUCAGGCUUGGAUGUAUGCAACGACGCUCGCCCGUG